rnacentral:lncRNA from 1 species
ACAGACACACACAGAGGCUUGCCGUACAAAUCUCCUAGGUGCCUCUUAGUCCAGUCAAGGUGACCAGAGAGAUGACCUAUCGCACAGAGCUAGCAUGUGUCAGAAUCCUGAGGUGUGGAGGCAUCUGCUUUGUUGUAAGAAGUCAUGUGAUAGGACGGAGAGCAUGGUGAACCAUGGCCAGAACUGAAGACAACAAGAAUGGCAGGAAAACAUGGCUUAAGGAUGGAUGUUUCCAGGUAACAGAGAAGAGGUUGAGAGCUGGGGCCAGGGACUAAGCUUUGGAGUCCGCAAAGGCUCCAUCCUGUCCAAGAGGAAGGAGCAUUCUGGCUACUGUGGUAGUUUUUCAGAAUGAAUGGCUUAGAGUUUGGAACCAUCCUACUGUGAGGCAGACAGCAGGCCUGGCUUUGAGGCUCAUUCUCCUGAGGACAGACAUGACUCAUCAUUCAGGAUGUUGUGUCAUCCUUAAAUGAACAUGGAAUUUGUGGCCAGAUCGUCUUUCCCUGUGGACAAGUGUGACAAUUAGGGACAGAGCAGAGAGGUGGCAGAGUGGAGGACCAAGCAUGUCCAGUGGGAGUCUGGUGACAGAAGUUGUCAGCUACAAGUCAAAGGCAUCUUGAGAAUUCGUGACUGUGUCUGUGUCCUAAGGCUGUGGAAACC